rnacentral:misc_RNA from 1 species
GAUGAAGAACGUAGCGAAAUGCGAUACUUGGUGUGAAUUGCAGAAUCCCGUGAACCAUCGAGUCUUUGAACGCAAGUUGCGCCCGAAGCCGUCAGGCCGAGGGCACGCCUGCCUGGGCGUCACACGCCGUUGCCCCCCCGCGCCCCGCACCCAACUCUUUGGGAGCGACCGCGGGGCGGGCUGAUGAUGGCCUCCCGUGCGCUCCGCCGCGCGGUUGGCCCAAAUACCGAGUCCCCGGCGACGUGCGCCACGACGAUCGGUGGUUGAGAGACCUCUGUCGCAAGUCGUGCGCGCCCGUCGCGUCACGCGGGCUCGCAUAGCGCCUCGCGCCGCACCCGGUGCGGAGCUUUCAACGCGACCCCAGGUCAGGCGGGGUUACCCGCGGAAUUUAAGCAUAUCAAUAAGCGGAGGA